UACGUAGGGUGCAAGCGUUAAUCGGAAUUACUGGCGUAAAGCGUGCGCAGGCGGUUAUGUAAGACAGAUGUGAAAUGCCCGGGCUUAACCUGGGAACUGCAUUUGUGACUGCAUGGCUAGAGUUUGGCAGAGGGGGGUAGAAUUCCACGUGUAGCAGUGAAAUGCGUAGAUAUGUGGAGGAAUACCGAUGGCGAAGGCAGCCCCCUGGGAUAACACUGACGCUCAUGCACGAAAGCGUGGGGAGCAAACAGG
rnacentral:rRNA from 1 species